UACGAAGGGACCUAGCGUAGUUCGGAAUUACUGGGCUUAAAGAGUUCGUAGGUGGUUAAAAAAGUUGAUGGUGAAAUCCCAAGGCUCAACCUUGGAACUGCCAUCAAAACUUUUUAGCUAGAGUGUGAUAGAGGAAAGUGGAAUUUCUAGUGUAGAGGUGAAAUUCGUAGAUAUUAGAAAGAACAUCAAAAGCGAAGGCAACUUUCUGGAUCAUUACUGACACUGAGGAACGAAAGCAUGGGUAGCGAAGAGGAUUAGAUACCCUCGUAGUCCAUGCCGUAAACGAUGUGUGCUAGACGUUGGAAACUUAGUUUUCAGUGUCGCAGCGAAAGCAUUAAGCACACCGCCUGGGGAGUACGACCGCAAGGUUAAAACUCAAAUGAAUUGACGGGGACCCGCACAAGUAGUGGAGCAUGUGGUUUAAUUCGAAGAUACGCGCAGAACCUUACCAACACUUGACAUGUUCGUCGCGACUCUGAGAGAUCAGAGUUUUCGGUUCGGCCGGACGAAACACAGGUGCUGCAUGGCUGUCGUCAGCUCGUGUCGUGAGAUGUUGGGUUAAGUUCCGCAACGAGCGCAACCCCUACCUUUAGUUGCCACCAUUAAGUUGGGCACUUUAAAGGAACUGCCAGUGAUAAGCUGGAGGAAGGUGGGGAUGACGUCAAGUCCUCAUGGCCCUUACGUGUUGGGCUACACACGUGCUACAAUGGCACUUACAGUGGGAAGCUAAGACGCGAGUCCAAGCUAAUCCCUAAAAUGUGCCUCAGUUCGGAUUGCACUCUGUAACUCGAGUGCAUGAAGCUGGAAUUACUAGUAAUCGCGGAUCAGCGCGCCGCGGUGAAUACGUUCCCGGGUCU
rnacentral:rRNA from 1 species